rnacentral:rRNA from 1 species
CUCGUAGGCGGCUCGUUGCGUCGGCUGUGAAAACCCGCAGCUCAACUGUGGGCUUGCAGCUGAUACGGGCGGGCUAGGAUUCGGUAGGGGAGACUGGAAUUCCUGGUGUAGCGGUGAAAUGCGCAGAUAUCAGGAGGAACACCGGUGGCGAAGGCGGGUCUCUGGGCCGAUAUCGACGCUGAGGAGCGAAAGCGUGGGGAGCGAACAGGAUUAGAUACCCUGGUAGUCCACGCUGUAAACGUUGGGCGCUAGGUGUGGGGGGCCUCUCCGGUUCUCUGUGCCGCAGCUAACGCAUUAAGCGCCCCGCCUGGGGAGUACGGCCGCAAGGCUAAA